rnacentral:rRNA from 1 species
AAAGUGGAGCAAUCCAUGAGUAGAGUGGCAAACGGGUGAGUAACGCGUGGGUGACCUGCCUUCGAGCGGGGGAUAACGUUUCGAAAGGAACGCUAAUACCGCAUGACAUCCUGCCUUUGAAGAGGUGGAGAUCAAAGCUGGGGAUCGCAAGACCUAGCACUUGAAGAGGGGCCCGCGUCUGAUUAGCUAGUUGGUGAGGUAACGGCUCACCAAGGCGACGAUCAGUAUCCGGCCUGAGAGGGCGGACGGACACACUGGGACUGAGACACGGCCCAGACUCCUACGGGAGGCAGCAGUGGGGAAUUGUUCGCAAUGGGCGCAAGCCUGACGACGCAACGCCGCGUGGAGGAUGAAGACCUUCGGGUCGUAAACUCCUUUCGAUCGAGACGAAAGACUUCCGGGUGAACAAUCCGGGAGAGUGACGGUACCGAGAGAAGAAGCCCCGGCUAACUCCGUGCCAGCAGCCGCGGUAAUACGGGGGGGGCAAGCGUUGUUCGGAAUUACUGGGCGUAAAGGGCUCGUAGGCGGCCAACUAAGUCAGACGUGAAAUCCCUCGGCUUAACCGGGGAACUGCGUCUGAUACUGGAUGGCUUGAGGUUGGGAGAGGGAUGCGGAAUUCCAGGUGUAGCGGUGAAAUGCGUAGAUAUCUGGAGGAACACCGGUGGCGAAGGCGGCAUCCUGGACCAAUUCUGACGCUGAGUGAGCGAAAGCCAGGGGAGCAAACGGGAUUAGAUACCCCGGUAGUCCUGGCCCUAAACGAUGAAUGCUUGGUGUGGCGGGUAUCGAUCCCUGCCGUGCCGAAGCUAACGCA